GACAGAGGGUGCAAACGUUGUUCGGAAUUACUGGGCGUAAAGCGUGUGUAGGCGGCUUCGUAAGUCGGAUGUGAAAGCCCCGGGCUCAACCCGGGAAGUGCACUCGAUACUGCGAAGCUUGAGUACUGGAGAGGUUGGUGGAAUUCUCGGUGUAGAGGUGAAAUUCGUAGAUAUCGAGAGGAACACCGGUGGCGAAGGCGGCCAACUGGACAGAUACUGACGCUGAGACACGAAAGCGUGGGGAGCAAAAGGG
rnacentral:rRNA from 1 species